UACGGGGGGGGGCAAGCGUUGUUCGGAAUUACUGGGCGUAAAGGGCUCGUAGGCGGCCAACUAAGUCGGAUGUGAAAUCCCCGGGCUACACCGGGAACUGCGUCCGAUACUGGCAGGCUUGAAUCCGGGAGAGGGAUGCGGAAUUCCAGGUGUAGCGGUGAAAUGCGUAGAUAUCUGGAGGAACACCGGUGGCGAAGGCGGCAUCCUGGACCGGUAUUGACGCUGAGGCGCGAAAGCCAGGGGAGCAAACGGG
rnacentral:rRNA from 1 species